CGCGCGGCCGUCUCCGCGGGGCUCAGCGCCCGCUCUGGGGGCCCGGCCAGCCCGCAGAACCAGUCCCACAGCAGCCGGCCCCAGCGCCUGCGCCGGGCUGAGGACCAGGAGGACCAGGAGGACGGGGGCAGGCCAGGGGCCAAGACUUGCUUCUUGCCAUGACUGGGGGAGAAACAGUUUUGAGACCCCACCUGGUGCGUGGACCACAAAGCCUGAGAAAGAGGCCGGGGUUACAUUUUGCAGAGCAAAACACACUGGAACUAAUGGGGCACCUGAUCGGACUUUGAGCUUCAGUGGCGCUUUCUGAAGUAAGCCCUUGUGGGUUUUGACCUUGCAAGUUUGUAAAGGAUUACAUUCUCCGUUACAGAUAGCUUUUAUCGUGGACCACUGGCUUUUAAUCGCCACAGCUUGGGCAAGAAGAUGUGAGUCUUAGCUCUUGGUGGGGUCCUGGAACUUACGAUGUCAUUAGAUCCAGGCACGUGGCUGUUUCUCUAGGCAGGGCCUUAAGCAAAGGUGAAGGGCCUCGAGAAAGGUGGGCACUUUCUCAGGUCUUGGGGGAGCACAGGCCCCCCCCACCCCCGAGCCUGGGGAAGGCGAGGGACCUGAGCAGCAUGGUGCCACCAGCCGUUCAGGUCCAGCAGCUGGUGCUUUGGUGAUCUUACCUAGGCUCUCAGCCUAAGUGAGUUAUUGAAAGUUUGGACACCAGAGGCUUGGGAGGAACCCCCAAACCCAAAGGGAGAAGGCCGCUGCUGAAGGCACCCCAACUCCACCCAGGUGCUGGGGUUCCCUCUAACUGAGGCGGGAAGUAAAUUUAGAACUUACAUUUCAUUAAAUUAUUAAUUUCUGAGGGCAAUAGAAUUUGAUUUGGGGCUUUUGCUUGCAAACUAAUUUUUCUGACUGUAAUUUUUCCUUAGGAAUUUUAUAAUUUAGGAAGUCUCUCCAAUGUCAUUAUACCAGAAUGUUUUAACAGCGUUAUUUAAUCACACUGUAGAAAAGCUAUAGCUGCAUUUUGUCUAAAACAGCUACAUUAUGUCUUAUGCCAACUUUCCACUUUAGAUACCGUGCGGCCUUGGGGUAAAGCUAACUCAGGUACUGUUCUAACACCUUUGAGAGCCUCCAGGGGGCAAAAUUGAUAUGGCCCGUAGCAGCUCAAGGAGGAUGCCCUUAGGAAUGGUGGUUGGUCUGGAGGGACCUGAUGAAGAUGGGGAGAGCUGUAUAGACACACGGCUGCUCUAGUCCCGGGAGGGACAGCCAUGCUUCUGUGCGACUAGAGGCAGAAUUGCUAAGCUCUAUGGGGAAUAAAUGAAUAAUAUGGGUGGGGCACUGUUACUUUGACGUGCCUGGUGUUUCCUUCCAUCUGGAGGGAACUCAGUGUAACACCCUUUGAUUUUCUGACCUGAGGCUCAUUCUCCGCAGGGGAGGUGAAGGGACGUCCCUGUUGGUAGGUUUGGGAAGUGCGAAGAGGGCAUGCUUGGCUCUGUCUCUCCCUCCUCCCUCUCGGCAUUGCAGUGCUCACAGGGGCAGGCGGCUGACGGGCUCCUCUGCCUCAUGCUGGCCUUCAGUAGAAGGAAGCACACCUCCCCAUGGAUAUACAAUGAAUCUUUCCACCUGUCCUUUAUCAGUAACAAUAAAUGGCAAUAUUUUGGCUCUCA